GACAGAGGCCCCGAGCGUUAGGCGGAAUCACUGGGCUUAAAGCGUGUGUAGGCGGAUCGUUAAGUGUCUUGUGAAAUCCCACGGCUCACCCGUGGAACUGCUGGGCAUACUGGCGAUCUUGGGCCAUUCAGGGGCGACUGGAACAAGCGGUGGAGCGGUGAAAUGCGUAGAUAUCGCUUGGAACGCCAAAGGUGAAAACAGGUCGCUGGGGAUGCGCCGACGCUGAGACACGAAAGCGUGGGGAGCAAACAGG
rnacentral:rRNA from 1 species